UGGACUUUAUUCGCGCAGUAUAGGUGGGAGGCGUUGAUUAUAAUCUUGUGGGAUUAUUGGAGCCAUCAGUGAGAUACCACUCUUGUAAUGUUAGAUUUCUAACUUUGAAUCAUUAUCUGGUCAAAGAACAGUUUCAGGCGGGCAGUUUGACUGGGGCGGUCGCCUCCCAAACGGUAACGGAGGCGUACAAAGGUUUCCUCUGAACGGGUAGAAAUCGUAUCUAGAGUGUAAAGGCAUAAGGAAGCUUGACUGUGAGACCUACAAGUCGAGCAGGGACGAAAGUCGGUCUUAGUGAUCUGACGGUACUGAGUGGAAAGGCCGUCACUCAACGGAUAAAAGUUACUCUAGGGAUAACA
rnacentral:rRNA from 1 species